rfam:Gossypium hirsutum cultivar TM-1 unplaced genomic scaffold scaffold1063.1, whole genome shotgun sequence
AGUCCAUGGUGAGGGCACUUUCUCAACAGAUCAUUGUAUCUCUCCCAUGCAUCGUAGGGCGUUUCUAGAUCCAUCUGCACAAAAGAAGAGAUAUCAUUCCUUAAUUU